AGGGUUCGAUUCUGGCUCAGGAUGAACGCUAGCUACAGGCUUAACACAUGCAAGUCGAGGGGCAGCGAGAGGAAAGCUUGCUUCCUUGUCGGCGACCGGCGCACGGGUGAGUAACGCGUAUCCAACCUUCCCCUUAGUAGGGCAUAGCCCGGCGAAAGUCGGAUUAAUACCCUAUGUUUUCCAAUGAGGACAUCUGAGCUGGAACAAAGAUUUAUCGCUAAGGGAUGGGGAUGCGUCUGAUUAGGUAGUCGGCGGGGUAACGGCCCACCGAGCCUACGAUCAGUAGGGGUUCUGAGAGGAAGGUCCCCCACAUUGGUACUGAGACACGGACCAAACUCCUACGGGAGGCAGCAGUGAGGAAUAUUGGUCAAUGGGCGCGAGCCUGAACCAGCCAAGUAGCGUGCAGGAUGACUGCCCUAUGGGUUGUAAACUGCUUUUAUACGGGGAUAAAGUGAGGUAUGCAUACCUUUUUGUAGGUACCGUAUGAAUAAGGACCGGCUAAUUCCGUGCCAGCCGCAGC
rnacentral:rRNA from 1 species